GCGCCUCCACAGGCCCCUGCUCCACCAACUGCUUCACGGCAGCUGCCGGCAGGGAGCAGAGCUGGCGGGCCUCCAGCUGGCCGUGCGUGUUGGCCUGCGAGGGGGGUGGUCCUCUCUCGGUUUAUACGGUGGAGCCUAAAGCUGGUCGGUCCAGAGUCACCCAGCCAUCAGGGCGGGUCCCAGGCCUGAGCAGACCCACUGUCUUCUCCCCGCUGCGAGCCCGGGCGAGCAGCUCAGCACAGGACGCCUGCCCUCCACCGGCCUCUCUCCCUGCACCUUUAUUGUGGUGCCGUGUGCACGGGGCCUGCUACCGCGUCACUUCAAGUGCAGCCAGGGCACGACCUGCAUGUGCCUGUCCCAGGGCCACCACCACUGCCGUCUCCAGACUCUUUCCUCCUGCAAAGCCAGAGCCCUCCCCACUGAGCUCUAAGUGGUCCCCCAAGCUCUCUCCCAGAGUUGGGCUGCUCCAGGUUCCCCGUGAGCAGGUGCACACGGCACCUGUCCCUUGUGUCUGGAGGUCACUUGGUGCCAUGGCUUCCAGUGAGCCUCCUGGCGGCAGGUGUCGGGAUUUCAUUGGGGGCUGACUGGUGUUCCCCUGCCUGUCCAGACCUCCCUCUGUCUGUCCCUGCUUCAGGUGACAGACACAGCUGUUGAAUAGGUCUGCUGUGAACGUGGGUGACCGCCCCCCAAGACUCGCGCUGACGUUCCUUCCUGUCGUGGGAUUCCCAGGGGGCGACCAGGUGGGACCUCUGAGAGGUGAUAGGUCACGGACCCAGCCCUCUGUGGGUUCACGGGGUGCCAGGUCAUGGGUGAACAGUCAUCUCUAGAGUGGGUCUCCUCAAGUUUGUUUGGCUGAUUCUUGGGCACACCCUGUGGCCAUGGAUGCUGGGCUGCCUUUGGAUUCACCAGAGUCCCACCAGCGAGGUCCCCUGGACCGUGGACCUCGUGGCCAGCCUGUGUUCUCAUCCAUUCUGGGCAGUCACAGAGCGGAAGAAGCACCAAGACGGGGCAUCUUCAAGACCCUGUUCCUUCUGGCACAGACCCGGAAGGGGGCUGCUGGUCAAGUUGGUGGGCUGCCGGCUGUUCCUGGGCCACACUGCCCUGCUCCCCCGGCAAUGCCCGCGGGGUCCAGGCACGGCUUUCUUCUCAGAAGAGCACUGGAAAGGGAGCGGAGCGUGCGGGGCCCAGGUUUGGGAUGCGCUGAGAGAGCUCCGGGACUCCAGGAGGUCUGACGGCACAGAGCAGGGGAGCGGGGCUCUGUCCCGGGUGGACAACCGUGGGCUGAUGUCGUGAGAGGGCGCGGGCACUGGCUGGCCGUGCCCGGCACCCAUUGUCCCUGGUGCUGCUGCUGCGUGGCCCCGAGCCUGUCCCUCGGCUGGUGUGGGCCCGGCAGCCAGCCUCACCACCUGCCUCCCUCCCUGUGGACGCAGCUCUGUUGAGAUUCGCGGUGUGAGGGGACACACGUCUCACUCCCGGGUGCCGAGGCCAUGCUCUGAGGCCCCGACCCCGUCUCUCCUGGGGCCUCAGACCUCUUCCCCAUGCGAGGGCCGGGUGUGCGGGUGAGGGUGGGUUAGCAGGUGGCUCCCGGAACCAGGCAGCUGCCUGGGACAGGCUCCUCACUCCAGGCUGGGCAAGUCUGACCCGGGACCUGACGUCCGUCCCUGGGGCUGGGGCUGAGGCUGUUGGUGUACCUGGAGGGCGAGGCGCGGGUCAGUGUGUCCUUUGGUCUGCUGAGCAGGUGCUCCUCCUUUAAAGAGAAAGAAAAAUGGGGCCACAGCAUCAGCUCUGAAUUCCUGAGCCAGGCAGGCGCAAAGCCCUCCGGAUCCUGUUACUCACCAGUCUGCUCAUUUAGUUUAGGGUUCAAACAGCUCUGCAGAAUGUACAAAGGCCCAGGGGUCACCAUGAAGGUUUGUAUGUUGUUAUUCUCUCCACAUGAUAUGGGCAUGGUGGGGCCUGUGGCUGGACCUCUCAGCAGAGUGGGAUGGAGCUUGGGGACCAGGCAUGUGUGUGGGGCGUGAAUUUGCACUGACUGCUGGAGAGGACAGCAUUUCUUAGAGUCAGGUCAUACCCUCACUGUACUGUUUGCUCUUCAUUUCACCAUUUUAACAAAUCCCAAUGUCCUUGGUUCUGCCCCAGAGAUGGCACUUCUUGAUUGCUGGGGCGGGGGUGGAAAACCGUGCGCUCUCACCACGGGCAGAAACCCAGAGCCAAGGGCCUAGGUUGGCAAGACAGGUCUGGGCAGCCUCCUGCUGAGGGCCCGGGGUCGGCUGAGGCCUGGAGGUCCACACUGGGUGUCCUGCUCCUGUGUGCACAGGCACCGCCUGCUCCUUGGACACUUCACAUACCACCUACAGCAUCUUCCAGGGGAAAUUACCUACGUGCAGGAAAGGGGGAAAUACAGAGGGGCCAGGGGGAAGGAGCGGGCCUGUUCCCCCGAUUGCCAGGUGACUGAUUCCCCACUAAGUUCUCAGGCAGAGUGUGUCUGGAGCCUCGCCCUGUGCCCGGCCCCUCCCCCUGGGCACCCGUCCCUGCACAUGCAGCUGACCUUCUGCAGAGAUCUCCUUUCCUUCCAACCAUCGAUUCUUCAAUGGCAGUUAGUGAUGGUGUAAGGAAGCGGCCAGCUCCGAGUUCAGCACUAUUCAUUACUCCUAAGGGGCCGCCGGGGACAGACCCAGCACUGCCCCUCGCCUGGCAUCCCGCAGACUUCCGCCCCGGCCAGGCCCUCCGUCCCCGCCCGCCCUGUGCCUGGUGCUCGCCUGCCCCCUGCGUCCUCCUGCAGGCUCAUCCGCUCGCUCUCUGCAGAGCACGUCUCCCCCUUCGUCAGCCCAGAUCCUACCCGGGCUUCCCGGACACCUUUCAAAUAUCACGCCAAAUGCCAGCGAGCAGGCUGAUCUUGGAGAACAUAGAUCAGAACACGUCAUUCUGUCCUGGAGAACUCUAAUGGAUCCCGAUGCCCUUUCAGUGUGCCCGGGACCCGCCUGCCCGACCUGGGCCCACCGCCUCCUCAGAGCUUCACUGUCCUCAGGAUGCUCAGGGACAGGGCAUGCUGUGGCUGUGCAGGCUGACUCUGCCUCCACACCUUGUCCCCGUUGAGCAUCAGAGAGUCAAGGGAGAACUCUGUGAGCCGUGGUCAAAGAGUGGCCUCCAAAGGUGCCCACAUCCCAUCCCCCAGAGCCUGGGGACAGGUGGUGUCCCUGGGGCUUAGCAGAGGGACGGGGGAUUAGCAUUUGAGGUGGGCAGAGUGUCCCGGCUGAUGGGGCCCGGCGUGUCCCCUGUGUGCUGAGGAGUGGAAGAGGGAGGCAGAGGCUGGUCAGAGGGAGGGUGGAGAAGGACCUCUCACCUCGCCGCUCUGCAGGAGGUAGGGCCCCGGCCAGGCUCUCAGUGAGGAUGCCGCAGGCCUGCAGCCACGACAGUGGAUUCUGCCAAGGAACGGCCCUGGCCCCGCGGUUCUCACCCGGGUGAUCCUGGAACCCUUCUGCUGCCCUGUGACGCUUGGGUGGACCACCAGCUGCAUCUGUGGGGACUUGUUCUGGUAGCAGCUGGACACGGGUGUGGCCCUGUCACCACGUGGUUUUCUGAGGUGAGGUUCCUCCCGACGCAGGUGGAGCCUGGGGACCUGCGCAGUGAACUGACCAUAGAGGCCCACGGCAGAGGCCCUGGAGCCUGCGCCACGGAGCAGCCACGGCCGGGGGCAGGUGCGGGGGCACAGGUGCAGCUGCCAAGGAGCAGGGCUCGGCGCGGUGCCCAGUCGCAGGGUGGCGGGUUGGUUUCCUGUGUUUCCUCGUGCCCCUCCCUCUAGGACACGGACCCCAGGCCCCUCAGCCUUGUCACUGGCAGUCCCCUGGGGCCAGGUCAGCAGCCACACAGCAUAAACAUACGCAGGGGUGGAGAAGGGAGGGACCCUCAUAAGAUACAUCACCACCAGGAAGUGGUUUGUCGGACUUUUUAGUGACAUCCCAAAUAAGCAGGUUCAUGAAUGAGAAAUCCUUUUGGUGGAAUCAUCUUCA